rnacentral:rRNA from 1 species
UACGAAGGGUGCAAGCGUUACUCGGAAUUACUGGGCGUAAAGCGUGCGUAGGUGGUGAGUUAAGUCUGUCGUGAAAGCCCCGGGCUCAACCUGGGAAUGGCGAUGGAUACUGGCUCGCUAGAGUGCGGUAGAGGAGAGUGGAAUUCCCGGUGUAGCAGUGAAAUGCGUAGAGAUCGGGAGGAACAUCAGUUGCGGAAGGCGGCUCUCUGGACCAGCACUGACACUGAGGCACGGAAAGCGAUGGGGAGCAAACAGG